CUACGGGCCGCUCCAGUGGGGAAUAUUGGACAAUGGGGGAAACCCUGAUCCAGCAAUGCCGCGUGUGUGAAGAAGGCCUGCGGGUUGUAAAGCACUUUCGGUUGGGAGGACUGCUUCUAGCACUAAUAUUGUUGGAAGUUGACGUUACCUUCAGAAGAAGCACCGGCUAACUCCGUGCCAGCAGCCGCGGUAAUACGGAGGGCGCAAGCGUUACUCGGAAUCACUGGGCGUAAAGAGCGUGUAGGCGGCUAGAUCAGUCGGGUGUGAAAGCCCCGGGCUUAACCUGGGAACUGCAUCCGAUACUGUCUAGCUUGAGUACAGGAGAGGAGAGUGGAAUUCCACAUGUAGCGGUGAAAUGCGUAGAUAUGUGGAGGAACACCAAUGGCGAAGGCAGCUCUCUGGCCUGAUACUGACGCUGAGGUGCGAAAGCGUGGGGAGCAAACAGGAUUAGAUACCCUCGUAGUC
rnacentral:rRNA from 1 species